rnacentral:lncRNA from 1 species
CCGGAAGAGGCGUUGUUUAUUGUGGUUAACGUGACAUUUCUGAUCAACAUGUCUCCUUUGCAGACUCUUCUCUGUCAUUAGACGCGUCUGGACUUUUCGUGAAACUACUGCGUUUUGUUAGCGGCACGCUAGCGGGCCGUUGUCAGCCAGGACCCAGAAAAGCAGCAUCAUCAUCAAUGGUGUGUCUACAUCCCGGAGCCGUCACAUCUUCCUGUGUCCGCUCAAUGAACAAUCUCCUCAGCUCUCAUCGCAGCUGCACAUGUAUGGCGUUUGCGAGGCUUGGAGGGGAGUUUUGCCAAGCCCAGCACCUGCUGCUUAUUGUGGACAAGUGAACAGGAGACAUCAGCUAGGCGCAAACACUGCCAUUGACUUGCACAGGUCCUUACUGCCAUCCUGUUGAACCCAUAUGAAAACAAGCCAACCUUCAGCCUGUCACCUGUCCUGGGGAGUAGGAGAGGCUUUGGUUCUAUCCCGGGAGUUUCCUCACAGAUCUUCUCAUUUCCUGCGUUUCCUUUCUUCUACUCUGAUUCGUACAAGUCUUCUCUGAAUGGGCUAGAAGGGUCUUCAUAUUGUUUGGCUGGACUUUGAGUGUCUUCUCUCCAUUCUUUUUGAUUGCAAUCUACUGGAGUUACAUUUUUGUUUUUAACAAAGCCAAUUCUAGUUUUUCCUUCAUUGCCAAGAAAAGGUUAGAACCCCCCCCCAUUUUUAUCCCAGGAAAUUUGUCAUUAUCUUAUUUUUUUUUCAGACAACAAAGGAAUAUAAUAUUUACAGACUUUACCCAUAAAUCAUACGGUUGCGUUAGUUUGUGAAAUUAAUUGCAAAGUGGUUUUGCAUUUUUGUGCCGUAUGCAUUUUCUGUUUUAUUGAAAACCUUUUCUUUUUUCUUCUUUAGUUUUAAACAUCAGAACACUUUCGAUUUGAUUCCUUUGAAGAUCCUGCCUGUUACUCCACUAUUUGAAGCACAGAACUUUUCUGAUCUAUUUUUCUGUAUUAAU